AAUUUUUCAAACUCUGUGUUAUAUUUAUACUACCGCUUUGAGGAUCGAAAAUUUUGCCGCUGCUUUGAAUUUAGGUUAAUCUGGAUGGUGGACCUCGUUGACUGCGAGAACUUCGAAAAUCCCUCUCUGCAUUAUCAUCGCAUCUUUUUGGACUCGCUCUUGGGACUCACGUUGAUUUUGCUGGCGACCACCGAAUUUCACCUACAGAAACCUUUUAGUUACUUUCUAUCAUCCAGAAUGGUUGCGUUGAAGGUUGUGAUUGUUGUGAUCAUGUUCCUGCUAAAUAUUUUUGCGAUUUCGGCCAAACCCUUGCAAAACUAUUUCGCAGGGCCACCCACUCGCGAACCCUGGCAUCAGUGCCCAUAUUGCCGUUAAAAUGCAGCAGUUCCCUUAAGUUUCCACGCCGACGGAGCAAAUUGCUGCAGAUAAAAUUCAUGAGUUGUUUAUAAACUUUAUUGAAUAACAAACAAUUUAUAAGACAAUACGAAAAAGGCAAUAAACAAUGUUACAGUUAAAAAUUA